GAGGGGGAUAACUACUGGAAACGGUGGCUAAUACCGCAUAACGUCGCAAGACCAAAGAGGGGGACCUUCGGGCCUCUUGCCAUCAGAUGUGCCCAGAUGGGAUUAGCUUGUUGGUGAGGUAACGGCUCACCAAGGCGACGAUCCCUAGCUGGUCUGAGAGGAUGACCAGCCACACUGGAACUGAGACACGGUCCAGACUCCUACGGGAGGCAGCAGUGGGGAAUAUUGCACAAUGGGCGCAAGCCUGAUGCAGCCAUGCCGCGUGUAUGAAGAAGGCCUUCGGGUUGUAAAGUACUUUCAGCGGGGAGGAAGGUGUUGUGGUUAAUAACCGCAGCAAUUGACGUUACCCGCAGAAGAAGCACCGGCUAACUCCGUGCCAGCAGCCGCGGUAAUACGGAGGGUGCAAGCGUUAAUCGGAAUUACUGGGCGUAAAGCGCACGCAGGCGGUCUGUCAAGUCGGAUGUGAAAUCCCCGGGCUCAACCUGGGAACUGCAUUCGAAACUGGCAGGCUUGAGUCUUGUAGAGGGGGGUAGAAUUCCAGGUGUAGCGGUGAAAUGCGUAGAGAUCUGGAGGAAUACCGGUGGCGAAGGCGGCCCCCUGGACAAAGACUGACGCUCAGGUGCGAAAGCGUGGGGAGCAAACAGGAUUAGAUACCCUGGUAGUCCACGCCGUAAACGAUGUCUACUUGGAGGUUGUGCCCUUGAGGCGUGGCUUCCGGAGCUAACGCGUUAAGUAGACCGCCUGGGGAGUACGGCCGCAAGGUUAAAACUCAAAUGAAUUGACGGGGGCCCGCACAAGCGGUGGAGCAUGUGGUUUAAUUCGAUGCAACGCGAAGAACCUUACCUGGUCUUGACAUCCACAGAACUUUCCAGAGAUGGAUUGGUGCCUUCGGGAACUGUGAGACAGGUGCUGCAUGGCUGUCGUCAGCUCGUGUUGUGAAAUGUUGGGUUAAGUCCCGCAACGAGCGCAACCCUUAUCCUUUGUUGCCAGCGGUCCGGCCGGGAACUCAAAGGAGACUGCCAGUGAUAAACUGGAGGAAGGUGGGGAUGACGUCAAGUCAUCAUGGCCCUUACGACCAGGGCUACACACGUGCUACAAUGGCGCAUACAAAGAGAAGCGACCUCGCGAGAGCAAGCGGACCUCAUAAAGUGCGUCGUAGUCCGGAUUGGAGUCUGCAACUCGACUCCAUGAAGUCGGAAUCGCUAGUAAUCGUGGAUCAGAAUGCCACGGUGAAUACGUUCCCGGGCCUUGUACACACCGCCCGUCACACCAUGGGAGUGGGUUGCAAAAGAAGUAGGUAGCUUAACCUUCGGGAGGGCGCUUACCACUUUGUGAUUCAUGACUGGGGUGAAGUCGUAACAAGGUAACCGUAGGGGAACCUGCGGUUGGAUCACCUCCUUACCUUAAAGAAGC
rnacentral:rRNA from 1 species